rnacentral:misc_RNA from 1 species
GAAUUGCGAAAAGUAGUGUGAAUUGCAUAAUUCCGCGAAUCAUCGAAUCUUUGAACGCACAUUGCACCGGCUGGAAUUCCGGCCGGUAUGCCUGUUUGAGUAUCGCAUCAACACUACCCUCCGGGGUGAUUUGGGCCGCGGAGUGUUCCCGGCCUUGAAUGCAUGGUGGGAGAGUACCGCCCAGGACCAGAGGUAAUCCGCGAGGAGACAAUCUGGGGGCAAGCGGGCAAGGCCACCUUAAACAGAAAGAAGACUUUUGAUCUCAAAUCAGGCAAGACUACCCGCUGAACUUAA